rnacentral:rRNA from 1 species
GACGAACGCUGGCGGCGUGCUUAACACAUGCAAGUCGAACGAUGAAGCCUUUCGGGGUGGAUUAGUGGCGAACGGGUGAGUAACACGUGGGCAAUCUGCCCUGCACUCUGGGACAAGCCCUGGAAACGGGGUCUAAUACCGGAUAUGACAUGCUCCCGCAUGGGAUGUGUGUGGAAAGCUCCGGCAGUGCAGGAUGAGCCCGCGGCCUAUCAGCUUGUUGGUGAGGUAGUGGCUCACCAAGGCGACGACGGGUAGCCGGCCUGAGAGGGCGACCGGCCACACUGGGACUGAGACACGGCCCAGACUCCUACGGAAGGCAGCAGUGGGGAAUAUUGCACAAUGAGCGGAAGCCUGAUGCAGCGACGCCGCGUGAGGGAUGACGGCCUUCGGGUUGUAAACCUCUUUCAGCAGGGAAGAAGCGAGAGUGACGGUACCUGCAGAAGAAGCGCCGGCUAACUACGUGCCAGCAGCCGCGGUAAUACGUAGGGCGCAAGCGUUGUCCGGAAUUAUUGGGCGUAAAGAGCUCGUAGGCGGCUUGUCACGUCGGUUGUGAAAGCCCGGGGCUUAACCCCGGGUCUGCAGUCGAUACGGGCAGGCUAGAGUUCGGUAGGGGAGAUCGGAAUUCCUGGUGUAGCGGGUGAAAUGCGCAGAUAUCAGGAGGAACACCGGUGGCGAAGGCGGAUCUCUGGGCCGAUACUGACGCUGAGGAGCGAAAGCGUGGGGAGCGAACAGGAUUAGAUACCCUGGUAGUCCACGCCGUAAACGGUGGGCACUAGGUGUGGGCAACAUUCCACGUUGUCCGUGCCGCAGCUAACGCAUUAAGUGCCCCGCCUGGGGAGUACGGCCGCAAGGCUAAAACUCAAAGGAAUUGACGGGGGCCCGCACAAGCGGCGGAGCAUGUGGCUUAAUUCGACGCAACGCGAAGAACCUUACCAAGGCUUGACAUACACCGGAAAGCAUUAGAGAUAGUGCCCCCCUUGUGGUCGGUGUACAGGUGGUGCAUGGCUGUCGUCAGCUCGUGUCGUGAGAUGUUGGGUUAAGUCCCGCAACGAGCGCAACCCUUGUCCCGUGUUGCCAGCAAGCCCUUCGGGGUGUUGGGGACUCACGGGAGACCGCCGGGGUCAACUCGGAGGAAGGUGGGGACGACGUCAAGUCAUCAUGCCCCUUAUGUCUUGGGCUGCACACGUGCUACAAUGGCUGGUACAAUGAGCUGCGAUACCGCAAGGUGGAGCGAAUCUCAAAAAGCCGGUCUCAGUUCGGAUUGGGGUCUGCAACUCGACCCCAUGAAGUCGGAGUCGCUAGUAAUCGCAGAUCAGCAUUGCUGCGGUGAAUACGUUCCCGGGCCUUGUACACACCGCCCGUCACGUCACGAAAGUCGGUAACACCCGAAGCCGGUGGCCCAACCCCCUUGCGGGGAGGGAGCUGUCGAAGGUGGGACUGGCGAUUGGGACGAAGUCGUAACAAGGUAACC